rnacentral:rRNA from 1 species
AGAGUUUGAUCAUGGCUCAGGGUGAACGCUGGCGGCGUGGAUAAGGCAUGCAAGUCGAAUGCAUUUAGUUGCAUGGCAGACGAGGUAGUAACACGUAGGUACGUACCCCAAAGUCAGGCAUAACCGGUCGAAAGAUCGGAUAAUUCCUGAUAGUCCCGCAAGGGUAAAGAUUUAUCGCUUUGGGAGCGGCCUGCGUAGUAUCAGCUUGUUGGUAAGGUAAUGGCUUACCAAGGCUAUGACGCUUAGGGGAGGUGAGAGCCUGACCCCCACCGAUGGAACUGCGACACGGUCCAUACUCCUACGGGAGGCUGCAGCCGAGAAUAUUCCGCAAUGGACGAAAGUCUGACGGAGCGACGCCGCGUGAAGGAUGAAGGCCCUUGGGUCGUAAACUUCUUUUAUGAGGGAGGAAAUUUUGACGUUACCUCAUGAAUAAGGAGCUCCUAAUUCCGUGCCAGCAGGAGCGGUCAUACGGAAGCUUCAAGCGUUACCCGGAAUCACUGGGCGUAAAGGGUGUGUAGGUUGUUUUGUUAGUCUUUUGUUAAAGACUGGGGCUUAACCCCAGGAGUGCGAAGGAAACGGCAAAACUAGAGAGUGAGAGAGGUGAACGGAACUCAUGGUGUAGGAGUGAAAUCCGUUGAUAUCAUGGGGAACACCAAAGGCGAAGGCAGUUCACUGGCUCAUUUCUGACACUGAGACACGAAAGCGUGGGUAGCGAAUGGGAUUAGAUACCCUGGUAGUCC